GGCACUGUGGCACAGAGGAUACCUCUGCCUCUCCUCAGCAGGAGGUUUGUGGGUUCGAAUCCCGCCUGGGCCC